rnacentral:rRNA from 1 species
AUUGAACGCUGGCGGCAGGCUUAACACAUGCAAGUCGAGCGGAGCGAGGGUGCUUGCACCUUAGCUUAGCGGCGGACGGGUGAGUAAUGCUUAGGAAUCUGCCUAUUAGUGGGGGACAACAUUCCGAAAGGAAUGCUAAUACCGCAUACACCCUACGGGGGAAAGCAGGGGAUCUUCGGACCUUGCGCUAAUAGAUGAGCCUAAGUCGGAUUAGCUAGUUGGUGGGGUAAAGGCCUACCAAGGCGACGAUCUGUAGCGGGUCUGAGAGGAUGAUCCGCCACACUGGGACUGGAACACGGCCCAGACUCCUACGGGAGGCAGCAGUGGGGAAUAUUGGACAAUGGGCGGAAGCCUGAUCCAGCCAUGCCGCGUGUGUGAAGAAGGCCUUUUGGUUGUAAAGCACUUUAAGCGAGGAGGAGGCUACUUAGAUUAAUACUCUGGGAUAGUGGACGUUACUCGCAGAAUAAGCACCGGCUAACUCUGUGCCAGCCGCCGCGGUAA